GAUGAACGCUAGCGGCAGGCCUAAUACAUGCAAGUCGAACGGUGUCUUCGGACAUAGUGGCGCACGGGUGCGUAACACGUAUGCAACCUACCUUACAUUGGGGGAUAGCCUUUCGAAAGGGAGAUUAAUACCGCAUAAGACAGUAGCUGGGCAUCCAGCAGCUGUUAAAGAUUUAUCGAUGUAAGCUGGGCAUGCGUCCAAUUAGCUAGUUGGUGAGGUAACGGCUCACCAAGGCAAUGAUUGGUAGGGGAACGGAGAGGUCAAUCCCCCACACUGACACUGAGAUACGGGCCAGACUCCUACGGGAGGCAGCAGUAGGGAAUAUUGGGCAAUGGACGCAAGUCUGACCCAGCCAUGCCGCGUGCAGGAUGAAGGCGUUAUGCGUUGUAAACUGCUUUUAUACAGGAAGAAACGACUCUUGCGAGAGGCAUUGACGGUACUGUAUGAAUAAGCACCGGCUAACUCCGUGCCAGCCGCCGCCGUAAAAC
rnacentral:rRNA from 1 species